rnacentral:rRNA from 1 species
UACGGGGGGGCAAGCGUUGUUCGGAAUUACUGGGCGUAAAGGGCUCGUAGGCGGCCAACUAAGUCAGACGUGAAAUCCCUCGGCUUAACCGGGGAACUGCAUCUGAUACUGGAUGGCUUGAGUUCGGGAGAGGGAUGCGGAAUUCCAGGUGUAGCGGUGAAAUGCGUUGAUAGUCGUAAGGAACACCCGUGGCGAAAGCGGCUCACUGGGUCUUUUCUGACGCUGAUGCACGAAAGGCUAGGGAGCAAACGGG